AGUGAAGGAAGCUGUUUCUGUUUCCAAAGACUGGACCGGCCGCGGUCAACUAACAAUAUAUGAGACGCAUCUAAGAAGGUACAGACCGAGAGGAAGACCAGGAGAGGAGGCGUCCUCAUCUAGGGGGCGCUACUGUUCAGCAAAAGGCAACACAUGUCAUCAUCUGAAAUCGUACAAAAAAGCGUUUGGUUCCUCUGAACUGACUGGCAGGAGCGAAACUCUGACAGUAUUCACACUGAAGAACUGAGGAAGAAAGAGGAGGAGAAGAAGAGAAGAAUACAACACAGACAGGUUUAACCAACAACACACUGACCAAUGAGAACCACAGAAAACAGUCACAUGGUGGAACCUGGUCCAUAGGUGGAACCUGGUCCAUAGGUGGAACCUGGUCCGUAGGUUGACCCGGUCCGUAAGUGGACCACUGUAAACCCCUUCACUGCUGGACAAACUCUACAUUCAACCCUCAAAGAUCUGUGGGAGGCGGGACAUGGACCCUUACCUGUUGCUAUGGUAACCGCCUCUGAUUGGUUGGUGUCCGGGCUGUCAUUGGUUAAAUCCUCAGCGGCCGAGUCCUUCACUGGACUGCAGACCUGUCAAUCAAACACAGGAAGCGGUUGAAGAGGCUCAGUGAUGGUUUGGUGGGCGGGUACGAUCGACACAUGACAAAGGAACGUCCAAUCACUGACCGGGAAGGGCUCAGCGCCUUCCU